rnacentral:rRNA from 1 species
UACGGGGGGGGCAAGCGUUGUUCGGAAUUACUGGGCGCAAAGGGCUCGUAGGUGGCCAACUAAGUCAGACGUGAAAUCCCUCGGCUUAACCGGGGAACUGCGUCUGAUACUGGAUGGCUUGAGUUUGGGAGAGGGAUGCGGAAUUCCAGGUGUAGCGGUGAAAUGCGUAGAUAUCUGGAGGAACACCGGUGGCGAAGGCGGCAUCCUGGACCAACACUGACACUGAGGAGCGAAAGCCAGGGGAGCAAACGGG